ensembl:lncRNA
GUUUAUUUUUGGAAUAAUGAAAGUAUUCUGAAAGUAGAUAGUGGUGCUUACAGCAUAACCUUUUGAUUAUGCUGAAAACUACUAAGCUAUACACUAUAAAAUACUGAACUUUAUAGUAUGUGAAUAUUUUAUUAAUUUUAAAAACCUCAAGACAAUAUUAUAUUUAGCCAUAGCCCAAGUACAUAUGGCCAAGUGUGGUUACUUUACGUUGAAGGGCAUCCACACAGCCCCUGGAAGUAAAAGGUGGUAGAAACCCAGGUCCUUUCCUAAGCUGAUGCCCAUCUAUCAACAGUAAAGGCAACCAAUGCAGAGUAUCCUGAGUAUUGUGCUGGUCACUCCCAGGUGGGCGGAUCUUUGAGAGGUAUGAUGUCACAAAGACCUCUCAGAACAUACCAACCAUCUUUGAGCACCAUUACCCAAGUCUGUAACUGGGUUGACUAUCUGACCGAAUAGUACCUUGAAAAGAAAAAAAAAUUCUGACACAGGUGUUUCUCUCAUGGCCAAAUUCCUUAAGUGUUCUCUUAAUUCAGCUAACAAAUUGUUCUCAAGGUCAAGAAUGGCCUCAUGCAAUUUGUUAAAUCCCGAGCACUUCCGAGAAUCAAAAUCAAAUCAAAGUGCAGAUAUGGAAGGUCCUGGAGGGAAAAGACAUAAUGAAUGUGAAACGAGAUUCCACAGUGAGGAGAACCAAGGCCUGGGCACUGCAUUGCAGUAGAAGAACUACCCAGUCAACCCACAGAAUUGUAAGAAAUACUUUCUUUUUUGGUGUUUUAAAGUGCUAAGUCUUUGUAAGCUGUAUCUGAUAUUUGGGCUAAUGGUUAGCUUCUAUUUAAAAUUGCUUUCUCUUGACUAUUGGUGGCAUUUUCCUGCCUUUUUAUUUCUCUCUUUUAAGUGACAUAUAAUUUAUUUCACAGUGUUAAUGGUCACAAAGCGGGAGUGGCAGCAGUAGGUGAGAGGGGAGAAUUUUCAUUUUUACUCUAUUGAUUUGCAUAUUGUUGAGCUAUUUUAUCAAGCACUUCUACUUUUGUAAGAUAAAUACAAUUUUAACUACUUUCAGUAAAGUAAAGAACUGUAUACAAAUUGGUAUUCCUUUAUGGAAUAGAGGGGAGGGCUUGGUCUUCUAUUCCUCCAUACUGAUAUGGGCCGUAAAAUACAAUCCACUUUUUUCUCUUAAAGCUGGAUGGGCUCAAAGAUGUAGACACUGUUGUUCUGGCCAUUUUUUUUUUUUUAAACUGAAUUAAUUGCAACCCUUUAAAACUCUUGAUUGUUGCAUGAAAACAAAAUGUGAAUAAUGUGGAUUGUUAUUCUGCAUGCAUUUCUCACACACACAUUUUUUGCUGAAAAUUUUUAUAUUACAUUUCGAAGUGGUACUUUAGGUAUUUAGCUUUAGCUUUCACCGAUCAGAUAUACUUAAAUUAGAUUUAAAAAGCAGAUGUUCUAGCAGCUUCUGUUGGCAAACAUGAUCACAGAGGUUUUUGGUUUAUCUCUAAUAGUAUUUCUGUCACCAGCUUUGAGGGAAUCAAGAACCCGGGGCAGAAGACAAAUCCUUUAGUUGUUGUUAUUAUUUCUGUUGCCAGUGUGGACCUAAUAUUAAUGACAUAUGUCUGGAAAUAACUAUUAACUUCCUUACUUUAUUGCUCUUGGUUUUGUCAAUCAAGAAGACUAGCCUGUAAAACAAUCAAAAUGGUUUAUUUGGUGUCUUAGAGAUUGCAAUC